UACGAAGGGGGCUAGCGUUGUUCGGAAUUACUGGGCGUAAAGCGCACGUAGGCGGACAUUUAAGUCAGGGGGUGAAAUCCCGGAGCUCAACUCCGGAACUGCCUUUGAUACUACUGGUCUUGAAUGUUGUUGAGGUGGGCGGAACGGGUCAUGUAGCGGUGAAAUGCAUAGAUAUGACCCGGAACACCGAUUGCGAAGGCAGCCCGCUAAGCAACUAUUGACGCUGAGGCACGAAAGCGUGGGGAUCAAACAGG
rnacentral:rRNA from 1 species